rnacentral:tRNA from 1 species
GUUUUAGUGGUUGAGUGGUAGAAUUCUUGCCUUACAUGCAGGAGAUCUGGGUUUGAUCCCCAGUCAAUGCA